UCUCUAUAUAAAGGCGAAGAACGGAGGAACACAGAGAGGUUUGCGCGCGAAAGUUUGGCGUUCCUAAAGUUGCUCUGACGAGGAGAAGGUUGAUAUUAGGGUUCGGAAUUAUCGGUGCCUCACUAUGUUGUUUGCAAACUCAGACUUUGAUGAGUUGCUGCAUUACAUCUUUGAAGAAGAUCCCGUGUCAGCGUUGCUACCUGAACAGUAUUUUUAGUAAAUAAUAUAUAGGAACGAAUUCUCAGGUGGACUCAUCGGUGACUUUGACUAUACGCUAAUUGGUGUCAACUAUGACAUUUGUACGCAAAAAGCAUGCAAUCGAGGCAAUGCUGUGCCACUGGUUUGUUUCCAUCCAUACCUCUUCUCUCUAUACCCGUUCAUUCCUUGCUGAUCUCUUCUCAAUUGUACUCUGCAUAAAAUCAAAACCCAAGGUAAUGCAAUGGAAGUGGAACCUAACGAAUGAGGUAACAAUCAAUUAGAUACAUUUCAUUUUUAACU